rnacentral:rRNA from 1 species
UACGAAGGGGGCUAGCGUUGCUCGGAAUUACUGGGCGUAAAGGGAGCGUAGGCGGACAUUUAAGUCAGAGGUGAAAUCCCGGAGCUUAACUUCGGAACUGCCUUUGAUACUGGGUGUCUUGAGUGUGAGAGAGGUAUGUGGAACUCCGAGUGUAGAGGUGAAAUGCGUAGAUAUCUGGAGGAACACCGGUGACGAAGGCGGCAUCCUGGACCGACACUGACGCUGAGGAGCGAAAGCCAGGGGAGCAAACGGG